rnacentral:misc_RNA from 2 species
AUACCUCAACUCUCAUGGCUUGCCGUGAUGAGCUUGGACCUUGGGGGUCUGCUGGCCUGUGAGUCGGCUCCUCUCAAAUGAAUUAGCCUGCCAGUGUUUGGUGGCAUCACAGGUGUGAUAACUAUCUACGCUUGUGGUUCUCCACCAGGUAACCUUCAGUGAUGGAGGUUCGCUGGAGCUCAUAAAUGUCUCUCCUUUGUGAGGACAGAUCUUGAUU